rnacentral:misc_RNA from 1 species
UCAUUUCAAACCUCAAGCGCAAGCUUGGUCUUGGGCGACGUCCUACCCGGACGCGCCAGAAACAUGUAGGCAGUGGUGCCCGUCUCCCAGCGUAGUCAAUUCUAUCCGCUCAGGAGUGCGUGGUGCUGCCCGCCGCACAACCCCAACAUAUUUUUCUAUGGUUUGACCUCGGAUCAGGUAGGGAUACCCGCUGAACUUAA